rnacentral:rRNA from 1 species
GUGAGGAAUAUUGGUCAAUGGGCGAGAGCCUGAACCAGCCAAGUCGCGUGAAGGAUGAAGGUUUUAUGAAUUGUAAACUUCUUUUGCAGGGGAAUAAAGUACGGUACGUGUACCGUUUUGUAUGUACUCUGCGAAUAAGGAUCGGCUAACUCCGUGCCAGCAGCCGCGGUAAUACGGAGGAUCCGAGCGUUAUCCGGAUUUAUUGGGUUUAAAGGGUGCGUAGGCGGACUGUCAAGUCAGCGGUGAAAGUUCAUGGCUCAACCAUGGAAUUGCCGUUGAAACUGAUGGUCUUGAGUGUAGAUGAGGUAGGCGGAAUUCGUGGUGUAGCGGUGAAAUGCAUAGAUAUCACGAAGAACACCGAUUGCGUAGGCAGCUUACCAAGCUACAACUGACGCUGAGGCACGAAGGUGCGGGGAUCAAACAGGAUUAGAAACCCGGGUAGUCC